CUCCUUCAGGACUGGAUCAACUGGAAUAGUGUGCAAAGAAAUGGCAGUUAGUAUUUAACUCAGGAAACUAGACUUCAACUACUCUCUAGCCUCCAUGCCCUUAUCUAUUUCCCGCAUCACUACAUCGCAAACACUUUGCUAAUACAACUUACAUUGUAAGUAUAUGCCGGUACUGUAUUUAUGCACAUUUUAUUCCAUAUCCAUCCUUUACCUCUAACUUUAUUAGCUUUUUUACCAUAAUGGCACAAAUGUGUAUCAUAAACGUUUUUCUUGUGAACAUUGGUAGGAUAAAAUACUGCGGGUCUGCCUCAUUGGUUCGUUGGUGAGACUGACGGCGAGGGAGCUGCGUGGCCUCAGCUGUUGCACGGACUAGGCCUUUGUGCCGCGGCCUUGCCUGUUAUAGCCACCCGGGGAGGAGGUGCCGGAGAAAGUGUGGGAAAGAACAGAGAUUGUGGUGAACCAUCGGCGCAGUCAGUGAGGAGGCCGGCGGAGAUGAGGCUGGUUUGGGGGAUGAGCCGUGCUGGGGUAUUGUGAGGCGCAGCAUGUUCGAGCUGGGACCGCAGGCGGAGUUUGUACCACAGUCAGAGACGGAGUGAGUGAUCCGGAGAGGGGUCGAUGCAGAAGCAUUUCGAUGCCCGUUCAUCUAACCCAGCAGCGAGGUUGGAUUGGUCCAAGGGAAAGCCAAUUUGGAACACUGGGCAUUCAGAGCUCCGGCGCCAGGUCCUAACUUCCACCGCACUGAGACAGGUUAAAUAAGGUCUGGGGUUCCGCUGGGUCCUAAGAUCCACUGCAUUGAAACAGUUUGAAUAAGGUACUUGAGCAUCCGCGAAUUUUGGUAUCCACGAGAGGUCCCGGAACCAAUCCCUCACGGGUACGGAGGGUCGACUGUACAUCAAAGAGCUGGGAUCCAGGUCCUAGAAUGUGGCACUCUCUCCAGUGCUUGGACAACUUAAACAUUGGCCUAGAUAGACUGGAAAGUUCGAGUGUCGUGAAUAGAGGCGAGGGUCAGGCUGAUUCCGCCUGGUCUCCCGCGAAUGAUCAUUCCUUUCUCCGUGGCGCCGAUGCUGUGAACUGAUUUGGCUGCUGUGCGUUUCUGCCCUGCUGGUAUGAUGUACUGGGGACCGAGGCUUUGGGCCUGCUCCGUCUGGUUCAGGGUGCUGUUGGCCUGCUUCUAUUAGAAACAUAGAGAACCUACAGCACGAUACAGUCCCUCCGGCCCACAACGUUGUGCCGAACAUGUCCUUACCCUAUUUUUUUUUAAGCUCCAUGCAGCUACCCAAAAGUCUGUUAAAAGGCCCUAUCGUAUUUGCCUCCAUCACCGUUGCCGGCAGCCCAUUCCACACACUCACCACUCUCUGAGGAAAAAACUUACCCCUGACAUCUCCUCUGUACCUACUCCCCAGCACCUUAAACCUGAGUCCUCUUGUGGCAACAGUUCAGCCCUGGGAAACAGCCUCUGACUAUCCACACAAUCAAUGCCUCUCAUCAUCUUAUAUGUUGUUUGCAUGAUGUGUGUGUUUUUCUCUUUCUCUUUUUCUGCACAGUGUUUUUUGGUCUCUUUUUGAAUUGGGUUAUUCAGGUUCCUUGCUUUGUGACUGCCUGUAAGCAGACAAGUUUCAAGGUGAAUAAGUUACACAUUCUGCAGUAAUAAAUGUGCUUUGAAUCUUUGAAAUAUCAUCUAUGCUGGGUUGGAGGGCUGGCACUGCUCCCUGGAAGACAAGCUGGGUUGCCUGCAGCUGACCUAGCACCAAACAAGCCGAUUUGCCUCCUCCUGCUGAACCAGUGAGAGAUGAGGAACUGCUGCAUACUUGUUCUUACAGAAACGUGGCUCCAGCACAACAUCCCGUGUACCAUCGAUCUUCAGGCCCUGCCACUCAGGGUCUUGUGUUAAUAUCAUUUUGUGAUUCAAUGUGCUAUUGUAACUGUAUGUGCUGUGUCUUGGCCCCAGAGGAACGCUGUUUCAUUUGGCUGUAUACAUG